UACGUAGGCAGCAAGCGUUGUUCGGAAUUACUGGGCGUAAAGAGUGUGUAGGCGGUGUUCUAAGUUUGUCGUGAAAUCUCCCGGCUUAACUGGGAGGGUGCGCCGAAUACUGGCAGGCUAGAGUAUGGGAGAGGGAAGCGGAAUUCCUGGUGUAGCGGUGAAAUGCGUAGAUAUCAGGAGGAACACCUGUGGUGUAGACGGCUUCCUGGACCAUCACUGACGCUGAGACACGAAAGCGUGGGUAGCAAACAGG
rnacentral:rRNA from 1 species